GGCUCAGGACGAACGCUGGCGGCGUGCCUAACACAUGCAAGUCAAGGGUGUAGCAAUACACACUGGCGCACGGGUGAGUAACGCGUAGGUCAUCUGCCCCUAUCUCAGACAUAACAUCGAGAAAUCGGUGCUAAUAUCUGAUGAGGAGAGCAAUCUUCAAAGGUUUACCGGAUGGGGAUGAGCCUGCGUCUGAUUAGCUUGUUGGUAAGGUAAAAGCUUACCAAGGCGACGAUCAGUAGCUGGUCUGAGAGGACGAUCAGCCACACUGGAACUGAGACACGGUCCAGACUCCUACGGGAGGCAGCAGUGAGGAAUAUUGGUCAAUGGGGGAAACCCUGAACCAGCGACGCCGCGUGUAGGAUGAAGGGGCUUUGCCCUGUAAACUACUGUCGGAUGGGAAGAAAAGCGUCCUCGGGGCGCUGGGACUGUACCAUCAAAGGAAGGACCGGCUAACUACGUGCCAGCAGCCGCGGUAAUACGUAGGGUCCAAGCGUUGUCCGGAUUUACUGGGUGUAAAGGGUGCGUAGGCGGACUUGUGCGUCAGAGGUUAAAUGUCACGGCUCAACCGUGAACCUGCCUUUGAUACGGCAAGUCUGGAGUACGAGAGAGGAUGGUAGAAUUCCUGGUGUAGCGGUGAAAUGCGUAGAUAUCAGGAGGAAUACCAGUGGCGAAGGCGGCCAUCUGGCUCGUAACUGACGCUGAGGCACGAAAGCGUGGGGAGCAAACAGGAUUAGAUACCCUGGUAGUCCACGCCCUAAACGAUGUAUGCUUGGUGUUGGAGACCUGGUCUUCAGUGCCGGAGGAAACCCGUUAAGCAUACCACCUGGGGAGUACGAUCGCAAGUUUGAAACUCAAAUG
rnacentral:rRNA from 1 species